AUUGAACGCUGGCGGCAUGCCUUACACAUGCAAGUCGAACGGUAACAGGUCUUCGGAUGCUGACGAGUGGCGAACGGGUGAGUAAUACAUCGGAACGUGCCCGAGAGUGGGGGAUAACGAGGCGAAAGCUUUGCUAAUACCGCAUACGAUCUCAGGAUGAAAGCAGGGGACCGCAAGGCCUUGCGCUCACGGAGCGGCCGAUGGCCGAUUAGGUAGGUGGUGGGAUAAAAGCUUGCCAAGCCGACGAUCUGUAGCUGGUCUGAGAGGACGACCAGCCAGACUGGGACUGAGACACGGCCCAGCCUCCUACGGGAGGCAGCAGUGGGGAAUUUUGGACAAUGGGCGCAAGCCUGAUCCAGCCAUGCCGCGUGCAGGAUGAAGGCCUUCGGGUUGUAAACUGCUUUUGUACGGAACGAAAAGACUCCUUCUAAUAAAGGGGGUCCAUGACGGUACCGUAAGAAUAAGCACCGGCUAACUACGUGCCAGCAGCCGCGGUAACAC
rnacentral:rRNA from 1 species